CAGCAGCCACGGGAAUACGUAGGUGGCAAGCGUUGUCCGGAAUUAUUGGGCGUAAAGGGCUCGCAGGCGGUUUCUUAAGUCUGAUGUGAAAGCCCCCGGCUCAACCGGGGAGGGUCAUUGGAAACUGGGAAACUUGAGUGCAGAAGAGGAGAGUGGAAUUCCACGUGUAGCGGUGAAAUGCGUAGAGAUGUGGAGGAACACCAGUGGCGAAGGCGACUCUCUGGUCUGUAACUGACGCUGAGGAGCGAAAGCGUGGGGAGCGAACAGGAUUAGAUACCCGAGUAGUCCCUGUCUCUUAUAC
rnacentral:rRNA from 1 species